AGAGUUUGAUCCUGGCUCAGGAUGAACGCUAGCUACAGGCUUAACACAUGCAAGUCGAGGGGCAGCAUGGUCUUAGCUUGCUAAGGCCGAUGGCGACCGGCGCACGGGUGAGUAACACGUAUCCAACCUGCCGUCUACUCUUGGACAGCCUUCUGAAAGGAAGAUUAAUACAAGAUGGCAUCAUGAGUCCGCAUGUUCACAUGAUUAAAGGUAUUCCGGUAGACGAUGGGGAUGCGUUCCAUUAGAUAGUAGGCGGGGUAACGGCCCACCUAGUCUUCGAUGGAUAGGGGUUCUGAGAGGAAGGUCCCCCACAUUGGAACUGAGACACGGUCCAAACUCCUACGGGAGGCAGCAGUGAGGAAUAUUGGUCAAUGGACGAGAGUCUGAACCAGCCAAGUAGCGUGAAGGAUGACUGCCCUAUGGGUUGUAAACUUCUUUUAUAAAGGAAUAAAGUCGGGUAUGGAUACCCGUUUGCAUGUACUUUAUGAAUAAGGAUCGGCUAACUCCGUGCCAGCAGCCGCGGUAAUACGGAGGAUCCGAGCGUUAUCCGGAUUUAUUGGGUUUAAAGGGAGCGUAGAUGGAUGUUUAAGUCAGUUGUGAAAGUUUGCGGCUCAACCGUAAAAUUGCAGUUGAUACUGGAUAUCUUGAGUGCAGUUGAGGCAGGCGGAAUUCGUGGUGUAGCGGUGAAAUGCUUAGAUAUCACGAAGAACUCCGAUUGCGAAGGCAGCACACUAAGCCGUAACUGACGUUCAUGCUCGAAAGUGUGGGUAUCAAACAGGAUUAGAUACCCUGGUAGUCCACACGGUAAACGAUGAAUACUCGCUGUUUGCGAUAUACUGCAAGCGGCCAAGCGAAAGCGUUAAGUAUUCCACCUGGGGAGUACGCCGGCAACGGUGAAACUCAAAGGAAUUGACGGGGGCCCG
rnacentral:rRNA from 1 species